rnacentral:tRNA from 2 species
GCCGCCGUAGCUCAGGGGUUGGAGCGCCUGGCUCAUAACCAGGAGGUCCGGGGUUCAAAUCCCCGCGGCGGCA